rnacentral:rRNA from 1 species
AGAACGAACGCUGGCGGCAUGCCUAACACAUGCAAGUCGAACGAGACCUUCGGGUCUAGUGGCGCACGGGUGCGUAACGCGUGGGAACCUGCCUUGAGGUUCGGAAUAACUCUCCGAAAGGGGUGCUAAUACCGAAUAAUGUCUUCGGACCAAAGAUUUAUCGCCUUUAGAUGGGCCCGCGUUGGAUUAGCUAGUUGGUAGGGUAAAGGCCUACCAAGGCGACGAUCCAUAGCUGGUCUUAGAGGAUGAUCAGCCACACUGGGACUGAGACACGGCCCAGACUCCUACGGGAGGCAGCAGUGGGGGAAUAUUGGACAAUGGGCGAAAGCCUGAUCCAGCAAUGCCGCGUGAGUGAUGAAGGCCUUAGGGUUGUAAAGCUCUUUUACCCGGGAUGAUAAUGACAGUACCGGGAGAAUAAGCUCCGGCUAACUCCGUGCCAGCAGCCGC